rnacentral:rRNA from 1 species
AUUGAACGCUGGCGGCAUGCCUAACACACGCAAGUCGAACGGUAACGCGGGGGCAACCCUGGCGACGAGUGGCGGACGGGUGAGUAAUACGUAGGAAUCUGCCCAUUAGUGGGGGACAACCCGGGGAAACCCGGGCUAAUACCGCAUACGCUCUACGGAGGAAAGCGGGGGAUCGCAAGACCUCGCGCUAAUGGAUGAGCCUACGUCGGAUUAGCUAGUUGGUAGGGCAAUGGCCUACCAAGGCGACGAUCCGUAGCUGGUCUGAGAGGACGAUCAGCCACACUGGGACUGAGACACGGCCCAGACUCCUACGGGAGGCAGCAGUGGGGAAUAUUGGACAAUGGGCGCAAGCCUGAUCCAGCAAUGCCGCGUGUGUGAAGAAGGCCUGCGGGUUGUAAAGCACUUUCAGUAGGGAAGAAAAGCCUAGGGUUAAUAACCCUGAGUCUUGACGUUACCUAAAGAAGAAGCACCGGCUAACUCCGUGCCAGCCGCCGCGGUAACAC